UCAGAGACAGGAUGGGAAGCUUUCUCAUUCCCUCCCUGAGCUUGGAGAGAGACGGAGCUCUGUGAGCAGAAAAUCCAGUCUCCCCUCUACCUGUGGACUGCACCCUAAAACCCUAAUAUCGGCUGCUGGAAGUCUAUGCUAACUGUAUGGACAGCAUGGGACACGUUUUGUGGAAAAGAGACAGUGAGAGGAAUUUUCCAUAUAACUGCACAAGACGUAAGCCUUCACUUGUAGGUUGAGACUGACUGGCCACUAGCAGAUGCUGUAACAGAAUACAAAUGAUUGCACAGUUGCAGAAUAUA